AACGCACGAGACCUGCGGACCUGCGGAGGGAUCAUUAAUGAGAAGCUGCCCCUCGUGGGUAGACCUCCCACCCUCUGUGAACUUACCUUUGUUGCUUUGGCAGGCCCGUCCUCUGGACCGCCGGCUUCGGCUGGCCCGUGCCUGCCAGAGGAUUCCAAACCCUGUCAGUCAGUGUUGUCUGAGUCUAUAUGAAAUCGUUAAAACUUUCAACAACGGAUCUCUAGAUCGGAAGAGCACACG
rnacentral:misc_RNA from 1 species